GCGGAUGUAGCUCAGUUGGUAGAGCANNGGGGUCGCGAGUUCGAGUCUCGUCAUCCGCUCAA
rnacentral:tRNA from 1 species